rnacentral:piRNA from 1 species
AAAAGGCAGGACAGAAGAACAUC